rnacentral:rRNA from 1 species
UACGGAGGGUGCAAGCGUUAUCCGGAUUCACUGGGUUUAAAGGGUGCGUAGGUGGGCAGGUAAGUCAGUGGUGAAAUCUCUGGGCUUAACCCAGAAACUGCCGUUGAUACUAUCUGUCUUGAAUAUAGUGGAGGUGAGCGGAAUAUGUCAUGUAGCGGUGAAAUGCUUAGAUAUGACAUAGAACACCCAUUGCGAAGGCAGCUCGCUACACUAUCAUUGACACUGAGGCACGAAAGCGUGGGGAUCAAACAGG